UACAGGGGGUGCAAACGUUGCUCGGAAUUAUUGGGCGUAAAGCGCGCGUAGGCGGCUACCUAAGUCGGAUGUGAAAGCCCCUGGCUCAACUGGGGAAGUGCACCCGAAACUGAGUAGCUAGAGUGCAAAAGAGGGUCGCGGAAUUCCCGGUGUAGAGGUGAAAUUCGUAGAUAUCGGGAGGAACACCGGUGGCGAAGGCGGCGACCUGGACCGGUACUGACGCUGAUGCGCGAAAGCGUGGGGAGCAAACGGG
rnacentral:rRNA from 1 species